CACGCUUGCCUGAUUUGACGCGUCACUCGCCCUGUCUGCUGUGCCAUGCAGUCCUUGGUUUCACCUGUCACCAAAGCCAUCUUCAUCGCCUUAUUUCUGUUCACUAUUCUCCUCAUUCUCUAUGUAAUCCUGUGGUACAUUUGCAGAGAUGCUGAUAACGAUUACAUUUAACAUUGGAGAAUGGCGAUACAAGAGGUGACAAGGUGCCAUUUCUGAUGUGCACGCUUGGAUGGAAGGUGAUGUUUGGCUCUGAUAAGAAGUGGGCAGAAAUCAAGGGAGACUUGAAAUAAACAGUUUAGACAGAUGAAGAUCCAACUGAACUUCCCACAGCUCACCAGAUAUCUGGAAGAGGAUUUGCUUUUUUGAAAAUAUUUGGGGCCUAAAUGAUUUGGCAUUUCAGCAGUUGGGACUCUUGCUCGGUGACAUUUUGUUCAAGAAGUUUGAAAUAUAUCCCUGGCUGGUGCGGUAAUCAUUUCAUUUCGAUGGAAUUAAAAAUGGCACUGUCUGUUCAAAAUGUCUUUCACAAGGACAGCCUUUUGAUCCUCCGCGCGUUGUGUGCCACUGUGAAAUGUGUUUAAUGAGAUUGUCAUUGGUCUGUUUUUGUGUAUUUGAACUGCUUUCAAAUGCAGUGUGGCUUUCUAGAUCCAUUGUAUCCAUGAUAUAAUGAUCCUGUAUGCUUAAUUGUUAAGAGUCAUUGAGGUAUUCAGGUUUUCCUUUUAUUGAAUAGUAAAGAAGGAUUUGCACUGUGAAGUAGCAUUUGCACUAUAUACUGUAUAUUUCUAUUCUAUUCUAUAUAUUAUUAGAAUUAGGAAGAGUGUAUUCUAGGUUUAGCACUAAUCUUGUUUAUGUUAUUCAAAUUCUAGGUCCUGGUUUUGUCCUGUCCAUACAGUUUAAUUGGAAGUGUGGUCAAUGUGAAUUUAGUGUGUAUUAAUGUUGAGAGACAAUGGCACUGUCUACAGUCAGGUGUGCUGCUUUCUUCUCUCCAAGCCAAGUAUAUCGAGCAAAGACUCUAAGGACACUUUGCCUUAUUGACAAAAAGCAGCACCAUACAGUUGUUUGGUGUUAUUCAUUUUAAAACCAUGUAAAAUUCCAUAUUUGCUUCCUGUCUGCUUGUGUUGUUUACAGUGACGUAAGCAGUGAUCUGACUGGCUAUGGGUGAGUGCAUGCUGCAUAAUGUAUGCACCUGGCAGCUCCCUGCUUUGUGAUUGGCUGUGCUCCCAGUCUCAAUGUUGAGCCAUGGGUGUGUAAAGUAAGUGUCCUCACAGCUCUGAGGUGAUCCUGACCUGAGAACCCCCUGCCUGGGCCUCUCUUAAGCAGAGGCUGCUGAGUCGUGUGGUGGUUUCAUAUGUGGAGCGGAGACCGUCAAAUGCAUUAUAUAUAAGUGGCCUGAGCUAGUUCAAAACAGCCUGCUGCAGCAUCUACCCCCUUUUUUAAUGGAAAAUGAUUUGCUCCUAAAAUAAAAGCCGCAUACAAAUCAGAGCAUGACCUGAUAUUGUUGCAUAGAAUUGUGUUUUAUAUUGUAAAAAAGAAAGAGGGCUGUGACACCCCUCCACCCCAUGCAUUCAUUUCUGAUUUCAAUUCCAAUCUACAGCACAGGGAGGGUUCAGUCAGUUCUUGUAAUGAGAGAGGUAAAUCGGGCUGAGUCAAGCCUGUUUCGUGGGCUCUCUCAUGGAUUUAGAAUUUGCCAGUGCGGUUGGUUCGUACUAACCAGUUAGUGUCUGUUUUAAUGGGGCUGAUGGCUUGAAAAAGAAUAAUGCAGUCAUCUGUCAAAGUUUCUCACUGAAAUAAACGAUUAUGUAUUAUAAUUUAGUGAAUAAAGAACCAAACAAGCAAGAUGGGCCGAAUGGCCUCCUCUCGUUUGCAAACUUUCUUAUGUUUUUAUAAUUUAAUACAAAAUGUAGAAAUAGUAAUUCUAAUAAAUCGAAACUAUCCCCCAAAAUAAAAGGGGUUCUUUUAUCUAAAGAAUAAUUUAAAUAAAUCUUACAUGUCAUGAACUUCAGUUUACUAUGCAGAUCUCAGUUUUGAAGACAUUGAAAAAGACUUGUAGUCAAAACACUUGUCAUUGAAUUUAAGGUUCUUUUAGUAUUUCUAAACUGAAAGACACGCACCAGCAAACAUGUGUUUUAAUUUCAAACUGUAUAACCGGUAGCUUCUUAAUUACCCUAUUGAGAACAGGAAAGAUGAUUGACAGAGCUUAAUUAUCCUAACAUUGUCAGCUCUGUCAAUCUACAUGCCUGCUCUCAACAAACAAGGCGGUGAAGCCAAGGAUCCUGCCCACAAUGCACCUGCACUGUGGGCACCAGGACACCUCCUAGGAACCCCAUGGUCCUAAAGCUCUAUAGGUACUGCAGCUCAUUUACAUGCCAUCACAAAGGCAUACUAGUGGCAGACUAUAACAUGUUUCUUUCAAAACUGCACAUUUGAGGUCUACAUAGUAAAUGGAAGUGCAUGCUUUUCCCAUUGUUAUACUAUAGUUUACCAUGGUUUAACAUGUUUUUAACAUGCUCUACCAUACCUCUUUGGGCUUUACAAUGUUAUUUAUUGAUGCUGUGUGUACAUUGUUGUAUGUUUCUUUUGUACUGUGCCGUGCUGUAAGCUGAAGACAAAUUUCCAUUUUAUGCUCUAUUUAUUGGACAAUAAAGCUUUUUUGAAUUUGAAUUUGAA